AAACAGUUUAUUCAAAGUUAGAGUUUGUUUAACAAGUACAAGCCUCUGGGAUAGGUUUUGCUCUGCUUAUGUCACUCAAGUCAUACUUUUUCCCCUUCACUAGAUGGCAGCAAGAAGAUAGCUAUAGGGAUUUGCAGGAUUAGUAUUAUUUUUUUAAAAAAUACAGUAAACAGAGAGUUUUCAAUUGGUUUGUUACUUGAAUGGAUUUCUUUAGCUGUCCCCUUAGACAGAAAGCUCUCAACAACCAAACCAACCAGCAGCAAGUUGGUCAAGAGCAGCGGCAGAGGAGUCUGAAACAUCUUUCCCAGAUAUUAUUGGCUGGAUUGGAAGUUUUUCAAGCUGGGUACCAGUUUAACUUAGUGUACUCACGUGUCUGGGGGAAGCUGGUAGCCUUGUCUGCAAAUUUGGUGGCCCAGGGCAACAAGAGGAGACAAUUCUCUGCAUCAGCUCCACUGCCCAGGCCUGAGCAUGUCCAACCCCAGCAUUUUGCAUUGGCUGCAUUACAUGAAAACCUUCUGUUGCACCCUGCCAGCUGCUGCUGCUCCUGACACUGCUGCUCCACAUUCUGGGAGGCAUUUCCUCCCCUCACUCAGGGUGCUGA